rnacentral:misc_RNA from 1 species
GAAAUUCGAUAAGUAAUGUGAAUUGCAGAAUUCAGUGAAUCAUCGAAUCUUUGAACGCACCUUGCGCUCCUUGGUAUUCCUUGAAGCAUGCCUGUUUGAGUAUCAUGAAAUCUUCAAAGUAAAUCUUUUGUUAACUCAAUUGGUUUCUACUUUGGUAUUGGAGGUCUUUGCAGCUUCACACCUGCUCCUCUUUGUUCAUUAGCUGGAUCUCAGUGUUAUGCUUGGUUCCACUCGGCGUGAUAAGUUAUCUAUCGCUGAGGACACUGUAAAAGGUGGCCAAGGUAAAUGCAGAUGAACCGCUUCUAAUAGUCCAUUGACUUGGACAAUACUUUUAUGAUCUGAUCUCAAAUCAGGUAGGACUACCCGCUGAACUUAAGC